rnacentral:lncRNA from 1 species
GGGCCAGACCCAGUGAAUAAGACAGAUGAGAACACACUGUCAGAGUUUUACAACCCUGCCUUUAAAUUAGAUGGCACUCAAAAGCAGCUUUCACCAUGUUUUUGAUCACACCUCAAAAAGACACUCACAAGAGGACUUCAAGAACAAUCGGCAAAGCAAAGGAAGUAUCUUAAUGGAUUAAUCAUAAUGCGUCUUUGACUAUGAUAAUUUUUUAAAUUUUUACUUAAAUAUUCACAGGAUUUUUUUUAAAUCCCAUCCUAUAUUCAUUCCCAUGCCCAUUUCUUGCUGAGGAAUAAGGAAGACUGAGGUGCAGGCUUCCUCCUCCUUCAGCAGCAACGGAGGGAGACAGGUGCAGAGCAAGAAGUCACACGAAGCGCAGGUCCAUCUCGCCAGGCCCCGGGGAGGGGAGCCCUCUCGUCCCUCCCCCAGCCUUGCGUUGCAGCAAAAUAUCCCAGAAGGCUUCAGGCAUCAACAGGUUUCGUGUCUCUACAAACUACAGUCGAGGUAGCCAGAAAGAUAACAUCUGCCAUAUCCCAGCUUGAACUCCGCCUCGCUCAAGAAACGCUCUCAACGGAGCCUUUCUGCCAACUCUUCCUUCAAGCCUGCAAGGUUUUGGCCCCUUCUGCUUGAUUGUUUGUGGAUACUCAGGCGAAGACCUUCUGUGUGACCUCCGCAGGCUGCCCCGAUGGCCUGGCCACACCACCUAUGAGGGCCAGGGACAGGAUCACGGCUUCACACUGCAGACACUAGUUCAAGGCAACCCCUGGGUGCUUACUGAUGUGAAGAGACCUGUGUGUGCACAGACCCGACCACGGCCCCCUAGAAUUACACAGAAGGGACCAUCAGAGAAGACUCUACCAUCUUCCUUCUCCCUGAUCCCUGCCACCUGCCACCAGGUCUCCAAAUCUCACCACCAUGAAGACAGCGACUCUGGCCCCCAACCGUACCCAGGUUACGGUUGUGACUGCAGCUCCACAUAUUUUUUUCAACAAACCUAAUAACCUUAUAAUGAAGAGAAAACCAGAGACAGAAGUUUGUACUCAGUGGCCAAGAACAGAGCUCUGUGAUCAACCAGGCAGGGGGCUCUGACUGCAAGCUCUACUACUUACGAGUAGUAGGGCACCAGGCAAUGUAGAUAACCUCCUCCAGCCUUGUUUUCUCAUUUCCCACAUGGGGAUGGGAUGGAACCGCUUCGGACUGAUGCAGUCUAUGAGAUAAUGCAAUUAUAAUGCUUUCCCUCAGCACCUGGCAGGCAGCAAGAAUUCCACUAGUUAUUUAUUAUCGUUAUCUUUAUGAUUAUCUGCAGUUCUGGAACUAACAUGUAAGAACAUGAGUUAGAAGCUCAGGACAGAAGGAGGCAGCCUGUACCUAAGCCCUGCAUCUGCCUUGGAUAAACCCAUGCGGAUCCCUCAGAGCUGCCUGUACUCUAGAUCAGAAAUACCUGGUAAUACCUGGGGGACAGGAGGUGUCCCCAGGACCAGGUGUAACCAGAGUCCAAUGAAAGUCUCCCUCUUUCCCUAAACCACUGGAAACACCUUAGAUGGGACAGAUUCUGACAACCGUCCCUAGCUGAAUGCCACACCUCCCUUUGCUACACCCCGUAAGCACCUGUUUCUUGGGCUCCCCGUGAACUUUAACAAUUGCCCCGCUGCACCUCUAGAUCAGAAACGGGUGUAGUUUUGACACCAGCCUUCACCAAGGCAGCGGGACAGGAAGAGUGUCCAUGAUUAGCUGUGCAGCCCCCUCAUGGAUGGAUAACACAUUCACUCAAUUCAGUAGAGAAGUACCUGGAGCUUUGAUUUUGCAACAUUUAAACCCACCGAUCUCCCACCUCCCUAUCUCCUUCCUAGACCUCGGUCCAACCCUCAGUCCCGCCUGGGCAUUCCUCUAGUUCCUGCCUUCCGGCUGGGGUCCGGAAGAAAUAAUUUCCCGCCUGGCACGCUAAGACCAAGAGUCAAAUGUACUGUCCUAUUUCCAAGGUAAAACCAAACUUAGAGCCGGGGCAGCAAAGAGGCAGGUAGUUUUCUUUUCAGCAGCCCGGGGCCUCCUUCCC